UACGGAGGGUGCAAGCGUUGUUCGGAAUUAUUGGGCGUAAAGAGCACGUAGGCGGAUUUGUAUGUCGAUUGUGAAAGCCCAGGGCUCAACCUUGGAAUUGCAGUCGAAACUGCGGAUCUUGAAUACUUGAGAGGGUGGGGGAAUUCCUGGUGGAGAAGUGAAAUUCGUAGAGAUCAGGAGGAACAUCGGAGGCGAAGGCGCCUGCCUGGCAAUGUAUUGACGCUGAGGUGCGAAAGCGUGGGGAGCAAACAGG
rnacentral:rRNA from 1 species